AGGUACUUAGGAGGAGCAGGAGGCCCUGGGAGGACUGGAAGAACACUCGUCCCCCAACCACCAACUUGUCCUGCUGUCCUCUGGGAGGCUCCUCUUAGCGAUUCCACAUGUAUAUGGAAAAAGGAUCUCCCAGCUCCUCAACGAGAAGAUCCCAGCAGAGAUAUAAGAGGGCCGCAGAGCUGGAAGCAGAGGUAGAGACUCACGGCUCCUACAAGAGGGAAAAAGGGAAAAAGGGGCUCCUUUGCUACUACUUUGCAGUAGGGGCAGGCCGAACGCUUGCUGAACACAUUUGGAAGAGGAAGAGAGGAGAUAAUCGUCCUAAUGAAUGUGCAGAAGACAAAGCAGCUCCAGUGGGAGGAUUAUAGGCUCAUUAUGGUUUAAUAUGAUGAUUGAUCAUCUCUGCCCGCCAGCAUUGUCCUAGAAUAGUGAUGAAGGUCGAAGAGACCCAUGCCAGUCAGAGCUCAAGCUCUAGUCCCCAGAAGAUAGAAAACAUACUUGUGUGUCAAGUUUUUUUCAUUGUAAAACUUCAUACCCGUGGCCCCAAUCCCCUAAAUUUUUUCCAUAAAAAAUCCUCCACUCCCCGCCCCAGUGGGCCCCACUUGUCUAUGAUAUCUCAGCCCUGGGCUGUUCCCCCAUAUUCCUCUUCACCAACUCUGGCUGAUCCUCUCUCUAGCGACCCCACCCUUUGAGAAAAUAGCCACAGUUUCCACUGCAGCGCGGGCUGAGGCAGGUCCAAGGGGCCCUUCAGUGGGUACUG